CGGACGGGUGAGUAAUGUCUGGGAAACUGCCUGAUGAGGGGGAUAACUACUGGAAACGAUAGCUAAUACCGCAUAACGUCGCAAGACCAAAGAGGGGGACCUUCGGGCCUCUUGCCAUCGGAUGUGCCCAGAUGGGAUUAGCUAGUAGGUGGGGUAAAGGCUCACCUAGGCGACGAUCCCUAGCUGGUCUGAGAGGAUGACCAGCCACACUGGAACUGAGACACGGUCCAG
rnacentral:rRNA from 1 species